UAAAGACCAUUGAGGGCAGUGCAGCUGGAAUAACAUCUGUCCAAGCUCUUGCUCUGUUUUGUUUCCUCUUCUAGCAUCUACUGGAGUAUUUGUAACCUAGGUGAUACUGGGUCAGGCUGGGCAUCGCUGUAUCAUGCAAAUGAAGCAGCCCUACGAGGUGAAACCACCACUUAAAAUAUGAGGGUAAUUUGGUUAUAUUUCAGUUAUUUGUGUUGUGAUAAAUCCAAUUUCAAACUAACUCUUCAUUUAAAAAUAUUCUAUACUUAAUGAUCCUAUACUGUGUUUUCUUCCUUGAUUCAAGGCAUGAUAUACUUAAUAAUCUUAUUAGAUUAUAUAAAGAAUCUCUGAAAAUUUUUCAUUGUGUUGAACAUUGAGCGACAUUGAAGUGUAAAGGUCUGGCUACAACUUUCCUCAAACUCUGUGGGACUCACGAAGUUAUAUCGAAAACUAUAUCUGCAUUAAUUAUUGGGUUA